rnacentral:rRNA from 1 species
GGAGCGGCAGACGGGUGAGUAACGCGUGGGAACGUACCUUUUGCUACGGAAUAACUCAGGGAAACUUGUGCUAAUACCGUAUGUGCCCUUCGGGGGAAAGAUUUAUCGGCAAAGGAUCGGCCCGCGUUGGAUUAGCUAGUUGGUGAGGUAAAGGCUCACCAAGGCGACGAUCCAUAGCUGGUCUGAGAGGAUGAUCAGCCACACUGGGACUGAGACACGGCCCAGACUCCUACGGGAGGCAGCAGUGGGGAAUAUUGGACAAUGGGCGCAAGCCUGAUCCAGCCAUGCCGCGUGAGUGAUGAAGGCCCUAGGGUUGUAAAGCUCUUUCACCGGUGAAGAUAAUGACGGUAACCGGAGAAGAAGCCCCGGCUAACUUCGUGCCAGCAGCCGCGGUAAUACGAAGGGGGCUAGCGUUGUUCGGAUUUACUGGGCGUAAAGCGCACGUAGGCGGACUUUUAAGUCAGGGGUGAAAUCCCGGGGCUCAACCCCGGAACUGCCUUUGAUACUGGA